GCUUAUCUGGCUACUGUACAUAUAUAUAUAUAUAUCAAGUAAUACUCGCGUUCAUAUCUAGCUAAUAUACUUCAGUAAAUACAGAAUUUGUAUGGAGAUUUUUCUACUGGCUUUCCUGUCAUAAUGAAAAACCUUACUUUAACCUUGUGUCUGACGUUGUUGUUGUUGUCACUCUUUCUGAUCGAAUCAGCUGAUUCCAUAGUGUGCCACAAACACUGCCACAGAAAAUGUCAUAAAAACGCCGAUAAGGCUGAGAGAGAGAUGAAGGUCAUGGAGAACUUAGGUUACACGGUUUCUAAGCUACCUAACGACGACGAUAUGGGUUAUCUCGAAGCAGACAUGGACGAAUGACUUGAUUCCAUCCUGCGUCUGUUAAACACCAGGUACGUGAACUAAAAACAACGAAUGAAACCGGUGUCUUCUAGAACAAUGUUGUAAUUUUUUUGAUAAUAUGAUGUGCUGGUUGUAUAAAUAGAAUGAGGGUUUAUAAUAAAACAACAUUUAAUUUUCAAAA